AGCCCCGUGGGGUAGUGGCCAAUCCUGCCCGGCUUUGGACCGGGCGACGCAGGUUCGAAUCCUGCCGGGGCUA
rnacentral:tRNA from 1 species